rnacentral:piRNA from 1 species
UGAGAGCCUCCUGGGUGUCAAGUACUCUGU